AAGCGUUUAUGACCAGACUUGGCCCGGUUGAUCAUCCAGCGUUCUCGCUGGUGCACUCUGCCGGUCCAGGCCAGCAUCAGUUCGUCGCGGGGGAUAAAGGUUUCGGGAAUGUGGCUCCUCCGGGAGUGUUAUAGCCCGUUGCGUAAUACCCUG
rnacentral:rRNA from 1 species